AUAACAUUAUGUGGGUCCUAGGGAAGAUAUUCAGCAUAUACCUGAUAACAUUAUGUAGGUCCUAGGGAAGAUAUUCAGCAUAUACCUGAUAACAUUAUGUGGGUCCUAGGGAAGAUAUUCAGCAUAUACCUGAUAACAUUAUGUAGGUCCUAGGGGGGACAUUCAGCAUAU